UGGGGUGUAGCUCAGUGGUGGAGCACCCAUCCUGCAUGCACAAGGUCCUGGGUUCAAUCCCCAGCACCACAA
rnacentral:tRNA from 1 species